CAUGUAGGCGGUUGGAUAAGUUGCGUGUGAAAGCUCCUGGCUAAACUAGGAGAGGACAGGCAAGACUGUUCGGCUUGAGGGUGGUAGAGGGGCACAGAAUUCGGGGUGUAGCGGUGAAAUGUGUAGAGAUCCCGAGGAAUACCAGUGGUGAAGACGGUGCCCUGGGCCAUACCUGACGCUGAGAUGCGAAAGCGUGGGGAGCGAACGGGAUUAGAGACCCCGGUAGUCCACGCCGUAAACGAUGCUGACUAGGUGUUCACUAGGCGACAGUCUAGGGAGUGCCGAAGCUAACGCGAUAAGUCAGCCGCCUGGGGAGUACGGUCGCAAGGCUAAA
rnacentral:rRNA from 1 species